CUCCGCGCUGCGCUGCGGCCUCCCGGGGACCAAGAACAGACCCCGCCCCACUCGCGAGCUGCUGCUCCCCGGCGCUGCUUCCGCCACCCUACGAAGGGCCACUCGCCUCCCGUGUUGCCUCUGUCUCUUCGGAAACAUUCCCCCGACAAACAACCCCCCGCCCUCAAGGCGCCGCUCGGACCUCGGGCUCCUGCAAGACCCAGGGGAUCACGGUAGAGUCUCCCCGAGCGCAGUAGAACAGCACCCCCGUGUGGCCCUGUCCUCCGGAACCCGCGGAAUGGCCGGAUUCGUGGGCUGCAGCAGAGACCCGCCAGACCUAUGCUAAGUAACAACGCAUCUUACCAUCGAUGGCCUCUUGGAUGUGAAUGGUCACUGGAGUAACAGUAAUACUCAGAGAAAACACUCUUGUAACACUUACUAUGAGCCAAGAGACACUGAAGACCAGAGCUGCCAUGCAAGAACUUUGACUGCCCUGAGGCCACCAUGAUUAGAGGAAGCCCAAACCAGCCCGCAUGGAGAGACCACGUGGAGAAGCCCUGUGACUACAAGGAGAGAGAGAGAGCUGCCCACACACCCCCAGCUGGUACCUCAACUGGGACACCCCACUGUCCCAGCUUCAGCCACCAGCUAAUUACAUCCAUAUGGGAUCCCAAGGCAGAACUGCCCAGCUGGACCCUUCCCAAAAAUCUGACCACAGACAUGGAAGAAGGUUACUGCUUUACUACCCAUCAGGAGGAAGGAAGAAUUUCUUCUUGCCCAGCAAUGGUCCAGCCACUAAAAGGCUGUUACAACUCUGCCAAAGAAAAGCGAUUAAACUUCAAGCUCCCAGUUUCUUCCACUGGACUCUGUUUAUAACAUCCCCUCCCAACUCUCCCUUCUCCUCUAUAAAAGAAUGUCCCUCUCCUUUGUUCUCCCCACUUGCUUGUGCCUUACCAUAGAAUCCAUGUCCCAAAUUGUAAUUCUCUGCUAUUC